rnacentral:rRNA from 1 species
CCUACGGGAGGCAGCAGUGGGGAAUAUUGGACAAUGGGCGCAAGCCUGAUCCAGCCAUGCCGCGUGUGUGAAGAAGGCCCUCGGGUUGUAAAGCACUUUCAGCGAGGAAGAACGCCUAGUGGUUAAUACCCAUUAGGAAAGACAUCACUCGCAGAAGAAGCACCGGCUAACUCCGUGCCAGCAGCCGCGGUAAUACGGAGGGUGCAAGCGUUAAUCGGAAUUACUGGGCGUAAAGCGCGCGUAGGUGGCUUGAUAAGCCGGUUGUGAAAGCCCCGGGCUCAACCUGGGAACGGCAUCCGGAACUGUCAAGCUAGAGUGCAGGAGAGGAAGGUAGAAUUCCCGGUGUAGCGGUGAAAUGCGUAGAGAUCGGGAGGAAUACCAGUGGCGAAGGCGGCCUUCUGGACUGACACUGACACUGAGGUGCGAAAGCGUGGGUAGCAAACAGGAUUAGAUACCCUGGUAGUCCACGCCGUAAACGAUGUCGACCAGCCGUUGGGUGCCUAGCGCACUUUGUGGCGAAGUUAACGCGAUAAGUCGACCGCCUGGGGAGUACGGCCGCAAGGUUAAAACUCAAAUGAAUUGACGG